rnacentral:rRNA from 1 species
UGGUUGAUCCUGCCAGUAGUCAUAUGCUUGUCUCAAAGAUUAAGCCAUGCAUGUCUAAGUAUAAGCAACUAUACUGUGAAACUGCGAAUGGCUCAUUAAAUCAGUUAUCGUUUAUUUGAUAGUACUUUACUACUUGGAUAACCGUGGUAAUUCUAGAGCUAAUACAUGCUAAAAACCUCGACUUCGGAAGGGGUGUAUUUAUUAGAUAAAAAACCAAUGCCCUUCGGGGCUCCCUGGUGAUUCACAAUAACUUAACGAAUCGCAUGGCCUUGUGCCGGCGAUGGUUCAUUCAAAUUUCUGCCCUAUCAACUUUCGAUGGUAUGUUUUUGGCUUACCAUGGUUUCAACGGGUCACGAAGAAUUAGGGUUCGAUCUCGGAGAAGGAGCCUGAGAAAUGGCUACUACUUCCAAGGAAGGCAGCAGGCGCGCAAAUUACCCAAUCCCAACACGGGGAGGUAGUGACAAUAAAUACUGAUACAGGGCUCUUUUGGGUCUUGUAAUUGGAAUGAGUACAAUUUAAAUCCCUUAACGAGGAACAAUUGGAGGGCAAGUCUGGU